rnacentral:rRNA from 1 species
GGAGUCUAGCAUGUGCGCGAGUCAAUGGGACUAGCGAAACCUAAAGGCGAAAUGAAAGUGAAGGUCGGCCUUGCGCCAACCGAGGGAGGAUGGGCCGCGUCACGACGCGGCCCCGCACUCCCGGGGCGUCUCGUUCUCAUUGCGAGAAGAGGCGCACCCAGAGCGUACACGCUGGGACCCGAAAGAUGGUGAACUAUGCCUGGUCAGGACGAAGUCAGGGGAAACCCUGAUGGAGGUCCGAAGCGAUUCUGACGUGCAAAUCGAUCGUCGGAACUGGGUAUAGGGGCGAAAGACUAAUCGAACCAUCUAGUAGCUGGUUCCCUCCGAAGUUUCCCUCAGGAUAGCUGGCGCUCGCUUUUGCGAGUCUCAUCUGGUAAAGCGAAUGAUUAGAGGCAUUGGGGUCGAAACGGCCUCAACCUAUUCUCAAACUUUAAAUGGGUGAGAUCUCCGGCUUGCUUGAAGUUGAAGCCGCGAGAUCGGAUCAGAGUGCCAAGUGGGCCAUUUUUGGUAAGCAGAACUGGCGCUGUGGGAUGAACCAAACGCAGAGUUAAAGCUCCUAAAUCGACGCUUAUGGGAUACCAUGAAAGGCGUUGGUAACUUAAGACAGCAGGACGGUGGCCAUGGAA